CCAACCUGUUCCAGCUGUUGCAGCUGCCCCCAGAGCACAGCCAGCCCUCAGCCAUGAGUGUGAUGCCCCGGGCGCACCUGUUUGAGUUCACCCCUGAGGCCGUGAGGAGAGCAGAGAAGCACCUGAAUAGAUACAAUACUAAAGAAUGAAAAGGACGUCUGCAUUGAUCCUGACUCUCUAGGAAGCACUGAUUUAGAAAAUUUUGGAAACGGAAGCGCAGCGCUUCCCACCACUGUGAUAAACCCGAACCAGCUGGAGAACCCUGAAUGCACGGCUCAUGCAAGGGAGCCUGGAAGCCCCAGCCGCAGGCUGGAGAAGCCCCUGCCUGGCUCAGGGCCUUGGUGCCUUUUUCCCCUGCCAGGGAGAUGCGCCGUGGCGUGACCCCCGUGUGUUCCCACAUGGCCUCGCACCUGCUCAGCCCGCUCAUCGGGCAGCAGCCACGCUGGCAUCUGCCUGCCCUGGCGUUCUUUGUGGAGUUUCAUUUCAGAAAAUGUCAGAAUUACAGAUGUACACUCUAAAGUAUACAAGAUUUCUGUGCAACAGCAAGAUGAGUAAACAGUGGUACAGCCCAAUCUACAUUACCUUUAGUGGUUA